rnacentral:rRNA from 1 species
ACAGCAGCCGCCGCGGUAAUACAGAGGGUGCGAGCGUUAAUCGGAUUUACUGGGCGUAAAGCGUGCGUAGGCGGCUUUUUAAGUCGGAUGUGAAAUCCCUGAGCUUAACUUAGGAAUUGCAUUCGAUACUGGGAAGCUAGAGUAUGGGAGAGGAUGGUAGAAUUCCAGGUGUAGCGGUGAAAUGCGUAGAGAUCUGGAGGAAUACCGAUGGCGAAGGCAGCCAUCUGGCCUAAUACUGACGCUGAGGUACGAAAGCAUGGGGAGCAAACAGGAUUAGAUACCCCCGUAGUCCCUGUCUCUUAACA